rnacentral:lncRNA from 1 species
ACCCGUUCUUUCUAAACAAUCGGGACAUACAAUCAUAUCAAUAUCUCGAUGAGAGUAAUUCUCUAGAGUACAUGAUCCAGACAUGUGACCUUCUUCAUACUACCCAAGAGAACCUUAAAUAAGAAUCGUGAUCACCUCAAGAAGCUGCAUGAGAACAACCCUACAUAAUACAAGAUUGAGGAUUAAUGUUGAUCACGCUGGAUGGGUUUUGGGUGCAUAGAUCUUCAUAUCCCCGUAAGGUGGUCUUCGUAUCUCUUGGAAAGGUAGUCUUCAUGUCCCUAAAGGUUUGUUUUCAUGUCCCCGAGAGAGGCGGCCUUAUCUAUAACAUAUUUAUCUAAACACUAUUUCACAAACACACCCCCGAGGGAGCGCCCCCAUGACCAACCAUGGUGUAUCCUUGUAUAUCCAUCAUGUCUACUAGACAAUUUGCCCUCUAAGGUCGCGCCUCCCCCCGGUCAGGAUGAGCAUACCUUAUCAUCAUACAGCUCACUAGCCACCUAGCUAGCAAGAAGAUACCCAACCCAACAACGCUUGGCAAAAUCCCAGGGCCGGCCCUUGGGUAAGGCGACCAAGGCGAACGCCUAGGGCACCAUUAUCUCAGGGGCACCAAAAAAUCUAUGCAGUAGUAUAUAACGAUAAAUUCAUUCAUUUAUAUAUUUACAUGCAUUUAAAUUGAUUGUGUUAUUAAUUUUAAAACAUUGUUUUUGAUCAUGCCAAUGUAUAAUUUGAAUUUAUAUGUAAAUUUUUUCUUUACAAUCUUAAAAAUAGGGGCACCAUUUUCAAAAUUCGUCUAGGGCACUCAAAUCUCUAGGGCCGGCCCUGCAAAAUCCAACCAUAACAAGUACUCCCCACAUUCUCCUGACAUAGAAAAUGUUAAUGGAAUCUCUAAGAUAAAGCAUAAACUCUUCAUAUCACCUACACAUUCCUUCACGUAGCUUUGACGGCACGCCACCACCAAAGGUGUCUGUCCUGCUAGAACUCGAUCUCACUGCAAACUUAUCUUAAAUAGCAACUCAAUUCCACUCAUUAGAAUCAAACCAUAUAUAUCUUUUUAAAAAUUCCAAAAGAUUUAUUUAUUACAAAAGAAAAUAAUUUAUUUCACAAAUGUAAAGUACUACCUC